AUUGAACGCUGGCGGCAGGCCUAAGACAUGCAAGUCGAGCGAGAAAGCCCUUCGGGGUGAGUACAGCGGCGGACGGGUGAGUAACGCGUAGGAAUCUACCCAGUAGUGGGGGACAACUAGUGGAAACGCUAGCUAAUACCGCAUACGCCCUAAGGGGGAAAGCGGGGGAUCUUCGGACCUCGUGCUAUUGGAUGAGCCUGCGUAAGAUUAGCUUGUUGGUGAGGUAAUGGCUCACCAAGGCUACGAUCUUUAGCUGGUCUGAGAGGAUGAUCAGCCACACCGGGACUGAGACACGGCCCGGACUCCUACGGGAGGCAGCAGUCGGGAAUAUUGCGCAAUGGGGGAAACCCUGACGCAGCCAUGCCGCGUGUGUGAAGAAGGCCCUAGGGUUGUAAAGCACUUUCAAUUGGGAGGAAAAGCUAAUGGUUAAUAGCCAUUAGCCCUGACGUUACCUUUAGAAGAAGCACCGGCUAACUCCGUGCCAGCAGCCGCGGUAAUACGGAGGGUGCAAGCGUUAAUCGGAAUUACUGGGCGUAAAGCGCGCGUAGGCGGCUCUUUAAGUCGGAUGUGAAAGCCCCGGGCUCAACCUGGGAACUGCAUCCGAUACUGGAGGGCUAGAGUGUAGGAGAGGGAGGUAGAAUUCCAUGUGUAGCAGUGAAAUGCGUAGAUACAUGGAGGAAUACCAGUGGCGAAGGCGGCCUCCUGGCUUAACACUGACGCUGAGGUGCGAAAGCGUGGGGAGCAAACGGGAUUAGAUACCCCGGUAGUCCACGCCGUAAACGAUGUCUACUAGCUGUAGGGGUACUUGAGACCUUUGUAGCGCAGCUAACGCACUAAGUAGACCGCCUGGGGAGUACGGCCGCAAGGUUAAAACUCAAAUGAAUUGACGGGGGCCCGCACAAGCAGUGGAGCAUGUGGUUUAAUUCGAUGCAACGCGAAGAACCUUACCAGGCCUUGACAUCCCCGGAACUUUCUAGAGAUAGAUUGGUGCCUUCGGGAACCGGGUGACAGGUGCUGCAUGGCUGUCGUCAGCUCGUGUCGUGAGAUGUUGGGUUAAGUCCCGUAACGAGCGCAACCCUUGUCCUUAGUUGCCAGCACAUAAUGGUGGGAACUCUAAGGAGACUGCCGGUGACAAACCGGAGGAAGGUGGGGACGACGUCAAGUCAUCAUGGCCCUUACGGCCUGGGCUACACACGUGCUACAAUGGCUAGGACAGACGGCUGCAAACCAGCGAUGGGGAGCUAAUCCGACAAACCUAGUCGUAGUCCGGAUUGGAGUCUGCAACUCGACUCCAUGAAGUCGGAAUUGCUAGUAAUCGCGAAUCAGAAUGUCGCGGUGAAUACGUUCCCGGGCCU
rnacentral:rRNA from 1 species